GACCGCGUAGCUCAGUUGGUAGAACAUUGGGCUAGCAUUCCAAAGGUCGUAGGUUCAAUUCCCACCGUGGCCA
rnacentral:tRNA from 1 species